UGUUCUGUGGCUUAGUUGGUUAAGGCGCUGGACUAGUUUUACGGAGUCGUAGGUUCGAAUCCCACCAAAACAA
rnacentral:tRNA from 1 species